CGUAAAACGUUUUCGAAAAACGUUAAGAAAAGUGUAUUAUUGUAUGGUAUGUAUAACUUCUAUCCACGAAUCGUUACUAGAAGCUCGUGAAAGAGAAAAAAAGACGAAUAUUUAUAGCUUCCUUGAUCGUUAAGCACAGCAAAAAUGAGAAAAGAAAAAAAAAAGAAAGAAAAAGAGAGAGCUUUCGCUUCGCUCUGUAAAUGUCUCCUUUUCCUAAUAAAUGGUAAACACAUUUGUGUGCAUGCGUGUAUCUAACAGCCAAAGAAAAUAUUUGGUAGAAAAAGAAGGAAAAGGAAAAAAUACGGGAAGAUCUGGAUAAUUUAAUAGAUAACUCGGUGUAAUACGGUCAUAGGAAAAUGGCGAACAAUGGUUUUUCACGAAUCGUUCGUGUAAAUAUUAUCGAGAAUUAGUCGUUCUUUCGAAUCCUCUAGAUGAAUGUGUUCUUUCGAUCUUUAGUCGUUAAGUUUUAUCCUCGAAGACACGGUGUCUGAUUGUAAUAUUUAAAAAAAGAUAAAGAAGAAAAAAAAGAGAGAAAAAAGACACACUGCGUUGAAAGAGAAACGCGCGAAUGAAAUAAAAACUCGUUAUUUAUUAUUGCCAUUGAUGGAAUUGAUAUCGGCGCAUAGCCAGUGUACUAAGGGGAACUUUACUAAUCGUUACGAAAAACACCUAUUUCAUCUUGUACUAAGCGUCUUACGCUAAAAGGCUGAACAAAAAUUUAAAUACGAAUUCAUCCUGACACGAUAGUGAUGCGCUAGUAUCGUUUCGAAUGAUCUAAGGCGCUUAACGAGUUUCGCUAGCAGCACAAUAAAUCUUCAACACAAACUGCCAAUAUAAUAUCUUUUGAUAAUUUAUUCGAACAAUUCUCCAUAGUAACAUCAACGAAACGGUCUAAACCGAACGGCAUCGGUAUUGGAUUGAAAUUUUAUAUCAUCAUCAUACUUUUAUCAUCAUUGUUCAAAAAACACGAGAUAUCAAUAGCAGAGAAAAAUAGUUUCUUUUCUUUUCUUUUCAAAAAUCAAUUAUAUUCUUCAAAAGGCAAACGUGAUUCCAAAUUCAAUAAUCAAAUAAAUCUUUAAAAUUAAAUUUUUAAAGUUUUUAAUGAACGGGCUUUGGUUUUUUCCCAUUAAUCUUUGUUAUAAUCAUUUUUCUUGAGUUCGGGGCAGAAUAUCAUAUCACGAGGUGCCGGCCAGAUGGUAUCUGCAAAAUAAUCACCAUCAUUCUAAAUAAAGAUAUUCUUUCAUCUUUUGUGAAAUUAUUCUUCUAAUAUCUGGUUUCAUUUUCAAUUAUCAAUUCGUUAUGCUAUUUGACAGUGGCGAAGAUACACUUCCGUUUUUACAAAU